rnacentral:ncRNA from 2 species
AACAGAGUAGGUUGUCUACGUUAAGUGCUUCUAGAUGGGAUGUAGCUAGAAGACGAAGCGAGCAGUGCGCGAUAGACGACCGCCUCCGCUGUA